rnacentral:rRNA from 1 species
UACGAAGGGGGCUAGCGUUGUUCGGAAUUACUGGGCGUAAAGGGCGCGUAGGCGGUACUUCAAGUCAGGCGUGAAAGCCCCGGGCUCAACCUGGGAACCGCGCUUGAGACUGGAGAACUAGAGUUCGGGAGAGGAUGGUGGAAUUCCCAGUGUAGAGGUGAAAUUCGUAGAUAUUGGGAAGAACACCGGUGGCGAAGGCGGCUACCUGGCCCAACAUUGACGCUGAGGCACGAAAGCGUGGGGAGCGAACAGG